AGCCUUCCAGCCCCUUACUGACGCUAAAGCUCGAAGGUGCGGGUAUCGAACAGGAUUAGAUACCCUGGUAGUCCGCACGGUAAACGAUGGAUGCCCGCUGUCGGCGACAUACUGUCGGCGGCCAAGCGAAAGCGUUAAGCAUCCCACCUGGGGAGUACGCCGGCAACGGUGAAACUCAAAGGAAUUGACGGGGGCCCGCACAAGCGGAGGAACAUGUGGUUUAAUUCGAUGAUACGCGAGGAACCUUACCCGGGCUUGAACUGCACAGGAAGGAGACAGAGAUGUUGACGCCCUUCGGGGCCUGUGUGGAGGUGCUGCAUGGUUGUCGUCAGCUCGUGCCGUGAGGUGUCGGCUUAAGUGCCAUAACGAGCGCAACCCCUUCCCUCAGUUGCCAUCAGUUAGGCUGGGCACUCUGUGGGUACUGCCACCGUAAGGUGUGAGGAAGGUGGGGAUGACGUCAAAUCAGCACGGCCCUUACGUCCGGGGCUACACACGUGUUACAAUGGCAGGUACAGCGUGUUGGGGUCGCGCGAGCGUCCUCCAAUCAUGAAAUCCUGCCUCAGUUCGGAUUGGGGUCUGCAACCCGACCCCAUGAAGCUGG
rnacentral:rRNA from 1 species